rnacentral:rRNA from 1 species
CACGUAGGGUGCGAGCGUUGUCCGGAAUUAUUGGGCGUAAAGAGCUCGUAGGCGGUGUGUCGCGUCGGCCGUGAAAACCUGCAGCUUAACUGUGGGCUUGCGGUCGAUACGGGCAUCACUGGAGUUCGGCAGGGGAGACUGGAAUUCCUGGUGUAGCGGUGAAAUGCGCAGAUAUCAGGAGGAACAGCCGGUGGCGAAGGCGGGUCUCUGGGCCGAUACUGACGCUGAGGCACGAAGGCCAGGGGAGCAAACGGG